CAGCCGCCGCGGUAAUACGAAGGGGGCCAGCGUUGCUCGGAAUCACUGGGCGUAAAGGGUGCGUAGGCGGGUCUUUAAGUCAGGGGUGAAAUCCUGGAGCUCAACUCCAGAACUGCCUUUGAUACUGAAGAUCUUGAGUUCGGGAGAGGUGAGUGGAACUGCGAGUGUAGAGGUGAAAUUCGUAGAUAUUCGCAAGAACACCAGUGGCGAAGGCGGCUCACUGGCCCGAUACUGACGCUGAGGCACGAAAGCUAGGGGAGCAAAUGGGAUUAGAUACCCGCGUAGUCCCUGUCUCUUAUAC
rnacentral:rRNA from 1 species